rnacentral:rRNA from 1 species
UACAGAGGGGGCAAGCGUUGUUCGGAAUUACUGGGCGUAAAGGGCGCGUAGGCGGCCUGCUAAGUCGAACGUGAAAGCCCCCGGCUCAACCGGGGAAUUGCGUCCUAAACUGGGUAGCUCGAGUGAGAUAGAGGUGUGUGGAACUUCCGGUGGAGCGGUGAAAUGUGUUGAUAUCGGAAGGAACGCCGGUGGCGAAAGCGACACACUGGGUCUCAACUGACGCUGAGGCACGAAAGCCAGGGGAGCGAACGGG